AUUGAACGCUAGCGGGAUGCUUUACACAUGCAAGUCGAACGAGUGGCGGACGGGUGAGUAAUAUAUCGGAACGUGCCCAGUAGAGGGGGCUAACUACUCGACAGAGUGGCUAAUACCGCCUACUCUUGGAGCGGCCGAGAUCGGAUUAGGUAGGUGGUGGGGUAAAGGCUCACCAAGGCAACGAUCCGUAGCUGGUUUGUGAGGACGACAAGUCACACUGGGACUGAGACACGGCCCAGACUCCGACGGGAGGCAGCAGUGGGGAAGUUUGGACAAUGGGGGAAACCCUGAUCCAGCCAUCCCGCGUGUAUGAGAAGGCCUUCGGGUUGUAAAGUACUUUUGGCAGGGAAGCGGUAUCUGCAGAAGAAGCACCGGCUAACUACGUGCCAGCAGCCGCGGUAAUUC
rnacentral:rRNA from 1 species